rnacentral:sRNA from 1 species
AGCAGCCGCGGUAAUUCCAGCUCCAAUAGCGUAUAUUAAAGUUGUUGCAGUUAAAAAGCUCGUAGUUGAAUUUCGGGGUUAGUAGGCUGGUCAUGCCUCCGGUAUGUACUGGUCUUACUGACUUCUCCUUUCUGAAGAACUGUAAUGCCAUUAAUUUGGUGUUGCAGGGAAUCAGGACUGUUACUUUGAAAAAAUUAGAGUGUUUAAAGCAGGCUAACGCUUGAAUACAUUAGCAUGGAAUAAUGGAAUAGGACGUUCGAUCCUAUUUUGUUGGUUUCUAGGAUUGACGUAAUGAUUAAUAGGGAUAGUUGAGGGCAUUAGUAUUCAAUUGUCAGAGGUGAAAUUCUUGGAUUUAUUGAAGACUAACUACUGCGA